rnacentral:rRNA from 1 species
CAGUAGCCGCGGGAAUACGUAGGUGGCAAGCGUUGUCCGGAAUUAUUGGGCGUAAAGGGCUCGCAGGCGGUUUCUUAAGUCUGAUGUGAAAGCCCCCGGCUCAACCGGGGAGGGUCAUUGGAAACUGGGAAACUUGAGUGCAGAAGAGGAGAGUGGAAUUCCACGUGUAGCGGUGAAAUGCGUAGAGAUGUGGAGGAACACCAGUGGCGAAGGCGACUCUCUGGUCUGUAACUGGCGCUGAGGAGCGAAAGCGUGGGGAGCGAACAGAAUUAGAGACCCCAGUAGUCCCUGUCUCUUAUAC